UACGUAGGUGACCAGCGUUGUCCGGAUUUACUGGGCGUAAAGAGCGCGCAGGCGGUCGUUCAAGUCGAGUGUGAAAGCCCCCGGCUCAACUGGGGAGGGUCACUCGAUACUGAUCGACUUGAAGGCAGGAGAGGGAAGCGGAAUUCCCGGUGUAGUGGUGAAAUGCGUAGAUAUCAGGAAGAACACCCGUGGCGAAAGCGGCACCCUGGCGUCGAACUGACGCACAUGUGCGAAAGCGUGGGGAGCGAACGGG
rnacentral:rRNA from 1 species